UUUCCGUAGGUGAACCUGCGGAAGGAUCAUUAAAGAAUCGCCCCGUUUUUUAUAGAUGGGUUCUAUUCCCAAACCGUGUAUACAUACCUUUGUUGCUUUGGCAGGCCGCCUCCGGGCGUCGGCUCCGGCUGAUAGUGCCUGCCAGAGGACCCAAACUCUGUGUUUAGUGAUGUCUGAGUACUAUAUAAUAGUUAAAACUUUCAACAACGGAUCUCUUGGUUCUG
rnacentral:misc_RNA from 1 species